AUUCAAUAUUUAUCAUAUAAAUUGAAUCUUACAAUAAAACAAAUGAUGGAUAGAAUAAUCCAUAAGAAGGCUCCGGGUAGGAGAUACAGACAGACAUUUUCUGGUCAAUCUUCCCUCUGAUUGCUUAGAAAGUCCCUGACUUGUGACGGCUUGCACACAUAGCGGGCUCUGAGACUCUAAUUAUUUUAUCAUAGAAUAUAUAGAAUACAGAAUAUAUAUUUACUGCACACAAUGUAGGGGCAACUAUUAACCGGCUGCGAGUGAAAAAAUAAUCAUGAACGUUUAAACUAGUUGAAGAGAAUUUGCAACAAUGAAAAAAAAACUCAAAAUAAUGUAUCUACAAAUAUUUCCAUAGACUUUAACGUCGCCUUCAGUAGAUAAAUCAUUUAAAAAUAAAAUGUGUUUAUUUGGAUUUUGACACGAAUCAGGAAACUAGUAUUUGAUAAGAUAGCUCUAGUUGGUAAAUAACUUUGCACUGUCAUAAUAUUUAUUAGCAGACUUCCUAUCUGAUUAUUAAAUCACUCCUAGUGCAAAAUGAUCUUAGAAUUUCUUUUUUAUUAUUUGCUAUGACCUACUUUUUUUUUGCAUUUU